UUUGUGCCACGUGUCCUGUGUGUUGACCCUCUCCCUGCAGUGGGUUUGCUCUCUUUGCAGCAGCAUCUUCAAAGAGUGUCUGAAAAAAGACUUGCAUAUUGGAAAAGGACCAAAAUGACAACUGAUUAGAAGUAUGCAUCUGGUAUCGGGCAGGCUUGCAGCGAGGAGCAGGGGCAAAGUGAGGACUUUCAGGGGAGAAUCCUGCUUUUCCACUGUGCGCUGCUCUUGAGGGGCAUCACCUUGCAGUAUGUUUUUUCUCCUCGAUAAAAACUUUUCUCAAGACACCCACUGAAAAUACAGUGAAGUUCUUUAUUCCUUUGCAUAGAUGGUUAGGGGAAUUAAAAGAAGCAGUGGCCAUUCCCCUUCUCUCUUGUAGACACCCAUACAUAGCUGUAGCUUUACUCUUCCUUCAGGGGAGGUGCACCCGACACAGUCCACCAUGUCCAUCACACACUGGAGUGAGGCAAGCCAGUGCACGGGUGCUGGUGGAGGAUGGAACAGGUGAAGCUUUGGUGCUGUGCAGGAACCAGCACGGGGCAGCAAUGCUGGGCCUGAGCCUUCUCGAGUGGGAAGCUGUGCAAAGCUGCGUGCAGAGCAGAGGCAGCCUGUUCAUUCAGUAUGGGGAAGCUACUGGGACUGGGGUGAGUGGGUUAUUCUGGCAGGGACUGCAGUGUGCAGGGUGUG